rnacentral:rRNA from 1 species
UUAGUCGUAAAAAUAAAAUAUUCAUAACAAAAUAUUUCGCCCGAGAACUACGAGCCACUGCCUUAAAACUCAAAGGACUUGGCGGUGCUUUACACCCACCUAGAGGAGCCUGUUUUAUAAUCGAUAAACCCCGAUAUACCUCACCAUCUCUUGCUUAUAACAGUCUAUAUACCGCCAUCUUCAGCGAACCCUAAAAAGGCAAAACAGUAAGCAUAAUCAUCUAAUCAUGAAAACGUUAGGUCAAGGUGUAACUUAUGAGAUGGAAAAAAUGGGCUACAUUUUCUUAAUAAGAACAUCCACGAUAAUCAUUAUGAAAUUAAUGAUAUAAGGCGGAUUUAGUAGUAAAUUAAGAAUAGAGAGCUUAAUUGAACCCGGCCAUGAAGCACGC